GGUUAAGCGACUAAGCGUACACGGUGGAUGCCCUGGCAGUCAGAGGCGAUGAAGGACGUGCUAAUCUGCGAUAAGCGUCGGUAAGGUGAUAUGAACCGUUAUAACCGGCGAUUUCCGAAUGGGGAAACCCAGUGUGAUUCGUCACACUAUCAUUAACUGAAUCCAUAGGUUAAUGAGGCGAACCGGGGGAACUGAAACAUCUAAGUACCCCGAGGAAAAGAAAUCAACCGAGAUUCCCCCAGUAGCGGCGAGCGAACGGGGAGCAGCCCAGAGCCUGAAUCAGUGUGUGUGUUAGUGGAAGCGUCUGGAAAGGCGCGCGAUACAGGGUGACAGCCCCGUACACAAAAAUGCACAUACUGUGAGCUCGAUGAGUAGGGCGGGACACGUGGUAUCCUGUCUGAAUAUGGGGGGACCAUCCUCCAAGGCUAAAUACUCCUGACUGACCGAUAGUGAACCAGUACCGUGAGGGAAAGGCGAAAAGAACCCCGGCGAGGGGAGUGAAAAAGAACCUGAAACCGUGUACGUACAAGCAGUGGGAGCACGCUUAGGCGUGUGACUGCGUACCUUUUGUAUAAUGGGUCAGCGACUUAUAUUCUGUAGCAAGGUUAACCGAAUAGGGGAGCCGAAGGGAAACCGAGUCUUAACUGGGCGUUAAGUUGCAGGGUAUAGACCCGAAACCCGGUGAUCUAGCCAUGGGCAGGUUGAAGGUUGGGUAACACUAACUGGAGGACCGAACCGACUAAUGUUGAAAAAUUAGCGGAUGACUUGUGGCUGGGGGUGAAAGGCCAAUCAAACCGGGAGAUAGCUGGUUCUCCCCGAAAGCUAUUUAGGUAGCGCCUCGUGAAUUCAUCUCCGGGGGUAGAGCACUGUUUCGGCAAGGGGGUCAUCCCGACUUACCAACCCGAUGCAAACUGCGAAUACCGGAGAAUGUUAUCACGGGAGACACACGGCGGGUGCUAACGUCCGUCGUGAAGAGGGAAACAACCCAGACCGCCAGCUAAGGUCCCAAAGUCAUGGUUAAGUGGGAAACGAUGUGGGAAGGCCCAGACAGCCAGGAUGUUGGCUUAGAAGCAGCCAUCAUUUAAAGAAAGCGUAAUAGCUCACUGGUCGAGUCGGCCUGCGCGGAAGAUGUAACGGGGCUAAACCAUGCACCGAAGCUGCGGCAGCGACGCUUAUGCGUUGUUGGGUAGGGGAGCGUUCUGUAAGCCUGCGAAGGUGUGCUGUGAGGCAUGCUGGAGGUAUCAGAAGUGCGAAUGCUGACAUAAGUAACGAUAAAGCGGGUGAAAAGCCCGCUCGCCGGAAGACCAAGGGUUCCUGUCCAACGUUAAUCGGGGCAGGGUGAGUCGACCCCUAAGGCGAGGCCGAAAGGCGUAGUCGAUGGGAAACAGGUUAAUAUUCCUGUACUUGGUGUUACUGCGAAGGGGGGACGGAGAAGGCUAUGUUGGCCGGGCGACGGUUGUCCCGGUUUAAGCGUGUAGGCUGGUUUUCCAGGCAAAUCCGGAAAAUCAAGGCUGAGGCGUGAUGACGAGGCACUACGGUGCUGAAGCAACAAAUGCCCUGCUUCCAGGAAAAGCCUCUAAGCAUCAGGUAACAUCAAAUCGUACCCCAAACCGACACAGGUGGUCAGGUAGAGAAUACCAAGGCGCUUGAGAGAACUCGGGUGAAGGAACUAGGCAAAAUGGUGCCGUAACUUCGGGAGAAGGCACGCUGAUAUGUAGGUGAAGUCCCUCGCGGAUGGAGCUGAAAUCAGUCGAAGAUACCAGCUGGCUGCAACUGUUUAUUAAAAACACAGCACUGUGCAAACACGAAAGUGGACGUAUACGGUGUGACGCCUGCCCGGUGCCGGAAGGUUAAUUGAUGGGGUUAGCGCAAGCGAAGCUCUUGAUCGAAGCCCCGGUAAACGGCGGCCGUAACUAUAACGGUCCUAAGGUAGCGAAAUUCCUUGUCGGGUAAGUUCCGACCUGCACGAAUGGCGUAAUGAUGGCCAGGCUGUCUCCACCCGAGACUCAGUGAAAUUGAACUCGCUGUGAAGAUGCAGUGUACCCGCGGCAAGACGGAAAGACCCCGUGAACCUUUACUAUAGCUUGACACUGAACAUUGAGCCUUGAUGUGUAGGAUAGGUGGGAGGCUUUGAAGUGUGGACGCCAGUCUGCAUGGAGCCGACCUUGAAAUACCACCCUUUAAUGUUUGAUGUUCUAACGUUGACCCGUAAUCCGGGUUGCGGACAGUGUCUGGUGGGUAGUUUGACUGGGGCGGUCUCCUCCUAAAGAGUAACGGAGGAGCACGAAGGUUGGCUAAUCCUGGUCGGACAUCAGGAGGUUAGUGCAAUGGCAUAAGCCAGCUUGACUGCGAGCGUGACGGCGCGAGCAGGUGCGAAAGCAGGUCAUAGUGAUCCGGUGGUUCUGAAUGGAAGGGCCAUCGCUCAACGGAUAAAAGGUACUCCGGGGAUAACAGGCUGAUACCGCCCAAGAGUUCAUAUCGACGGCGGUGUUUGGCACCUCGAUGUCGGCUCAUCACAUCCUGGGGCUGAAGUAGGUCCCAAGGGUAUGGCUGUUCGCCAUUUAAAGUGGUACGCGAGCUGGGUUUAGAACGUCGUGAGACAGUUCGGUCCCUAUCUGCCGUGGGCGCUGGAGAACUGAGGGGGGCUGCUCCUAGUACGAGAGGACCGGAGUGGACGCAUCACUGGUGUUCGGGUUGUCAUGCCAAUGGCACUGCCCGGUAGCUAAAUGCGGAAGAGAUAAGUGCUGAAAGCAUCUAAGCACGAAACUUGCCCCGAGAUGAGUUCUCCCUGACUCCUUGAGAGUCCUGAAGGAACGUUGAAGACGACGACGUUGAUAGGCCGGAUGUGUAAGCGCAGCGAUGCGUUGAGCUAACCGGUACUAAUGAACCGUGAGGCUUAACCUU
rnacentral:rRNA from 1 species